rnacentral:lncRNA from 1 species
AAAAAAAGUCAAGAAUAAGAAGUAUAUUACACAGUAAAGUCCAUAAUUAUGAUAAAAAGGACUAUGCAUGCAAAUCAAACUCCAAAAGAAUCAAUCAAAAUAUUAUCUUCCUAACAAUGUCAUCGAGUAAUAAAAUUGAUAGGAACUAUCCCUUCUAACUUAUAGAAAUAUAUAUAAUCAACCAUCAUUCUUUUUUAGAAAAUAGGAAAAAUUUAUUUAAGAUUCUCUUUGACUAAUUUUUUAUGUACAGAAUAUAUGUGUAUGUAGUCGUCAUAAAUUAUUCCUUCAAUUUCAAUUCAUGUGUUUUUAACUCACCGGUUGCGGUUAUCAUAUCCUUUUAGAUUUGAAGUAGCUUUUGCAUUAUAAGAGGCACAUUAUUGAUAUGAUCAACGCCAAUGUACUUUUUUAAGAAAAUAUAUAUAAGCUUUAAUUAAAGAUAAAUAAGAAAAAAAAUUUUAAUUAAAGAUACAAAAAAUCAAGGCAAAAUAAAAGAAGAAAGAAAUUAGAAGAAUAAUGAGGUUGAAAGAAAUAAUAUCUAAUAAACUCAAUGCUCUGAAUUACUUAAUAAUCCGCCUUCUGGAUUAACUUUUAUUCAUAUGUUGCUUGUAUUAUGAAUAUGAAUGGAAAUUAUGCUUCAUCGGUAGAAUAUUUGAGCUCUACACUUGCAAAAUUUAGAAGAUGGGGUCUACUCUAAUUGAAUUGAAUUAUUGCUAUGGGGUCCACAAUAAUAUGAACACAAUGGACAGCUCAAAAUAUAAGUGGAUGAAGCUGCAAAGGAAGACUAUACCUUGGAAAAUAUCUCCGUUGAAUCAAAUUAUUGCAAGUUAAUUCUACUCGGUAUCCUUCACCUGCAUAGGAGCAUGACUUAAUUGCAUCGAAAUUAAAGGCUCACAUUAAGAGUAAAACACUUCCUAACCGAUGUAAUAAAAUAGUUAUCUUGGUACAAAUAUGAAAAUGGCCUCUGUUGGAAUGUAUGCGUCCACUAAGUACAAUGGGACCAGGUCCUCAACAUAAUUAUAAUGAGACAUAAAGUAAGUGCUGAAAGUAAAGAUGACACACGUACUUUACGUGGAAACCUCCUUGCUCAAGGGAGUGGGUAUGACAUAAAUACUUUUAGUUUUUUUUUUUACAAUACAAAUAAAAAAUACAAAACAAAGAUAAAAUGUCAAAAAAGGGAAAAAAAAGAUGAAUACAAAUACUGGUCAUAUUCACUCAAUGAGCAGCCAAAGCAAUGCCUGCAUUGCCUACUAUACUAACUCAACUGAUUAAUAUAGACUUUUGACGUAAGACACUAAGUUUCCCUCAACUAAGUUCUUACAAUGAUUCACCCAAGGUUGAAACGUUUCUAUCACAGCCGAAACGAUUCCUACAAUAUAAGCACAAAUACAAGUAGUCAAAGUAACAGCCUGUAACAUCCGGCAAUUUGAAAUAACUAUGAAGAGGCUUAGAAGUGGAAAUAGUCAUUCUUGGAAAGAAUUCAAAAAUAUGGAAAUUUGGUUAAGUGUGGAAAAAAGGUGAGUUUUUGGCCAACUUUGAACAGUCAUAACUCCUAGAUCAGGAUGAGUUAGGUGUGGUUCCAGUUAUGGUUGCGAAGCUCGUGGAAUGAUCUUUCCAACACCACCGAGUUUGUUUGAUUUCCGAGUUCGUAUGAGUGAGUUAUGCCCUUUGGAAGUUGGGCAGUUGGCAGGGAAGUUCGUCCGGAAAUUUUAAGGGUAUUUUGGUAUUUUCCCUAACCAAUUCUUUUGGUUAUAUUAGUGUGUUAGACUGAUUUUUAGAUCAGUUUUUCCCAUUUUAAAGAGUGAGAGUAAGGGUUUGUGAGUGAAGAACCGAAUUCGUAUGAGCGAGUUAUGGCCUUUGAAAUUUGGGCAGUUGGGCAAGGAAUCCGUCCGGAAAAUUAAGGGUAUUUUGGUCUUUUCCCUAAUCAAUUGUUUUGGAUAUAUUAAGGUGUUAGACUGAUUUUAGAUCAGUUUUUCCCUUUUUNNNNNNNNNNNNNNNNNNNNNNNNNNNNNNNNNNNNNNNNNNNNNNNNNNNNNNNNNNNNNNNNNNNNNNNNNNNAUUGGUUGUGUUGUUGAAGUUGUUGGUUGUGUUGUUGAUGUUGUUGAUUGUGUUGUUGAAGCUCCUUGUUGAUUUGGGACAUGUUUCCGGUUGUGUUGUUGAGUUGAAAUCUAAUGUAUGUUGAGGGGUUUAUGAUUCUAAGUAUUUGGGGCUGGAACCUUUGAGGUUGAGAAGGUUUAGAGUUGGAGAAAUGAAGGAGAAAAGUUGAAUUUUCGAGGGAAAGGGGUGGCGCGUCGCGCCUUGCAAAGCGCCCCAAGAAGUGUUCUGAACUUCUCCCCUUGGGGCGCCGCGCCUUGCAGAGCGCCUCAGCUGCCCUUCUGAGCUUUGUGGUCUGGCGCCCCGCACUUUUCAGAGCGCCAAGAACGCCAAGUUUUCCCAUUCAUUCCCCACUUUUACAUGCAUGUUCCUUGGUAUUGUACAUAUGUUUCAUAGUUGUUUCCAACACUCCAAGGUACGUCUAAACGUCAAGAACUCAUCCAUAAACAUGUGAUCAUAUACCUUGAAUCCAUAAUCCAAUUCAAGGCGAGUUAGGAUCAAGUCAAAGUGAAGUUAAGGGUCAAGUCUAGAAGUUAAAGAAGUAAGUCAAAGCAAGUUUUCAAAGUUGUUCAAGAGUCUUUAUUGAACGUUUUAACUUCUUUGAGUAAGAGGGGAACCAUGUUUUCCAAAAGAGUCUUUGGGUUAAGUUUUGAGUAAUUAUCUCAACUAAAGAAAGAUGUGUUUAAAGCACUUAUGAGCCAAAGUAUUUUUGGGAGUAGUAUUGAGCACCGAAUUGGGGACACGAGUUCAUAUUAACUCAACUCUCCAUAAGAACCAUGCGCCAACAUGGGACUUGACGGAUCAUUCUUUUUAGAUGAUCACAUAAGAUAAAGCUAGUGGAUCCACUAACUAAAGUAAGGUCAUAUAUCACGGCAAGGUAUAGGAUAGUCCUUGGGCAACGUGAGGUAAAACGUUGUAUCAUCACUAAGGCUCGUAGUGGUGGUUGUCGGUUAAAGAACCUCCCACAAAAGCUAUAUUUCUUCCAUAUAAGUAAAGUUGAGUUUGUUGUCGUUCUAUCCUUCACAAACUAAGUUGUUUACAUUGUUUACAAGCUUUAUAUGUAUUGCAUGUGCCUUAUUGCUUUACUUUGAGCCCAGUUAUUUAUAUGAGUCGUUCAGAGUCAAGGUAAGUGAUCUCUUGUUCUCUUUUCUAGCUUAAGUUGUGGUUUAGCUUUUCCAGCUCACAUACUCGUACAUUCCAUGUACUGAUGCCAGUUGGCCUGCAUCGUUUUAAGUACAUUCCAUGUACUGAUGGUACCAGGUACCUUGAUGCUGUUUGAAUGAAUGAGUAAUUUGUUGUUUGUUAACUUGAAUACAUCAACAUCAAGAGUUAAUACAUAUUGGAUCAAGAGUUAAUACCAGGGACCUGGUACCAGUGUGGUGGAUGAAAAAGGUACUGGUACCAGGUCCCUUGAUGAUAAUCUCCAAGGGACCUUGAAUAUCUCUCUUUGAAUGAAUGAGUAAUUUGUUGUUUGUUAACUUGAAUACAUCAACAUCAAGAGUUAAUACAUAUUGGAUCAAGAGUUAAUACCAGGGACCUGGUACCAGUGUGGUGGAUGAAAAAGGUACUGGUACCAGGUCCCUUGAUGAUAAUCUCCAAGGGACCUUGAAUAUCUCUCUUUGAAUGAAUGAGUAAUUUGUUGUUUGUUAACUUGAAUACAUCAACAUCAAGAGUUAAUACAUAUUGGAUCAAGAGUUAAUACCAGGGACCUGGUACCAGUGUGGUGGAUGAAAAAGGUACUGGUACCAGGUCCCUUGAUGAUAAUCUCCAAGGGACCUUGAAUAUCUCUCUUUGAAUGAAUGAGUAAUUUGUUGUUUGUUAACUUGAAUACAUCAACAUCAAGAGUUAAUACAUAUUGGAUCAAGAGUUAAUACCAGGGACCUGGUACCAGUGUGGUGGAUGAAAAAGGUACUGGUACCAGGUCCCUUGAUGAUAAUCUCCAAGGGACCUUGAAUAUCUCUCUUUGAAUGAAUGAGUAAUUUGUUGUUUGUUAACUUGAAUACAUCAACAUCAAGAGUUAAUACAUAUUGGACAAACAACCUCAUCCCUUUUGAUUGGUGUAGUACUCUGACGGCUUUACCAACUUCUGACGCGGGCAGCUUUCCAUCUGUACAGCAUAUGAUCCUGGACGAGCAUACUCUGCAGAGGAUCGGGUCCCUACACUUGUGAGUAAAUCAUCAAAACAUCUGGGAGCAUUAAGACUUAUCAUUUCCCCCCUUUUUGAUGAUGACAAACAACCUACAAGUAGCCUCGCAUGAGUGUUAAACAUUCAUUCAAAAAUUACAUUUAUUCCCCCUAUCGCAGUUCCCCCUAUCAUUGUUCUUCCCCCUUAGUUCAGUUCCCUUCUAAUUUCACACAACAGUUCACCUUAAUUCCCCUUUUUGACACAUUGAAAAGGAAUGUUAGUAAACAUAUGCGAGUUAUAUGCAAAGCAUUGAAGAAUUCAGGGCCACGGGCCACACAGAACUUGUACAGGUAAGCAUAAAAGAGAAUAUCAAAGCAUACUUAAUAAUGCACAAUAAGAAAUAACAUUAGAUCACAAAAGCUGACCACAGGGGUUAGCCAAGACGGUACACAAAGCCACUCGAGUUUUUGACACAGAGAUGAGGAGGACAAUAAGACAGGACUCGUUUAGGACGGAGGGGGAGGGGUAAUAAGAGUUUGCAUCAGCAAAGACAUUCGCUCAUUUGCAUCAACAUGAGCUUGAAUGAUUUGCUUGUUGAGAGCUUUGACUUCCUCACCGAGUGAGGCAUUUGUCUUCAGCAGUUGCUUGUUCUCAGCUCUCAACGACUCAACCUCUUUUUCAUCCACGACACUGGUACCAGGUCCCUUGGAUAUUAUCAUUCAGAAUCACUGCAAGGUUGGUCAACUCUCUUUUGAGAUAAAGAACCCUUGCAUAAUAUGGAAAUUUGGUCAACAAUUUCCUGAAUAGAGUCCGAUUCAAUUCUACAAAAAAUAAGAAUAUUGAUAUAUACAGGUAAAAAAAAAACGUCAAGAAUAAGAAGUAUAUUACCCUAGAAUCAAUAAAAAUAUUAUCUUCCUAACAAUGUCAUCGAGUAAUAAAAUUGAUAGGAACUAUCCCUUCUAACUUAUAGAAAUAUAUAUAAUCAACCAUCAUUCUUUUUUAGAAAAUAGGAAAAAUUUAUUUAAGAUUCUCUUUGACUAAUUUUUUAUGUAUAGAAUAUAUGUGUAGGUAGUCUUCAUAAAUUAUUCCUUCAAUUUCAAUUCUUGUGUUUUUAACUCACCG